CUAAAGGAGAUCCUGAACACACCCGGUUCACAAAGGAAUCUUGAACAACAUUGAGUUUCACAGCUGCAAAGGCGACAGGUGGGAAGGCCAUGAUUUGCUAGGUGUAAGAAAGAGGCUGUUUGUGAUGAUGCAGGGUCUCCUGGGGUCCAAAGAGGAAAAGACUGCUUCUUCAUCCUCACUUUAUCUCCUAGGAAAAGCAACACCAGCAGGUGUCUUAUGAUGUUCUUAUAUGUUGACGACUUGGUUUCCUUUAAAAUCUCGGCACAGUUUGGACAUAUGGAUCAGGAUUUCGGAUUCUGGGGGGAAAUGAACAGUUAUAAAACCUUUUGUACAUGUAAAAGUGUAAAGCUGCAUCAGUUAAAAAUUAUUAUUUUCCGGAA